ACCAGAAGCAGAGGCUGGCACCAUGUUUGUUAUGCAGCCUGCAGAACCAGAAAUCAUGGGAAAAACUGCCCAUUUCUGUUUUGUCCACUUUGCUUUGGGAAGUGAGAGCUAUAGUCAUUAUCACCACAUCCCCUGGCAUCCAAUUCCACAUUCUACCUCAGAAGUUAUUUGGAGGAAUCCAAGGACUUAGAUAUUUUACCAAUGUCUCUGGUGAUUUUUAUAUCGGUGGCCCAUGGGUGUUGACCUAUGAAACUGCUCUGCAGCAGAUAUUGAGAAAUAGGAGUUCAGACCAUCGAACUCCAAGUACUUCAGAUUUGGAACUCGGACUGCUUUCCUUGCUCCUCAGCCUGCAGAUGGCCUAUUGUGGGACCUUGUGAUUAUGUAGUGAGACGAGCAUGAGUGGAGCAGGAGACGGCUGUCCCCCACCCACAAGGAAUAUCAGAUGAUGGUUCAGCGAUCAUCACAUUGCCUCUCUGAAAGUGAUAAAUUGGCAGCUGGCACCAGGGAGAGGCUAUUUCCUGAUGGCCCACACCUGUUGCACUAAGAUGUUAAUCGAAUGCAGAUUCCAGGGAGAAACAACUUCCUGGGCAUGUGCGUAAGAGACAAAAUGGCAGGUAUGACCUUCUGGGGACACUCCACCAGAAAAGGGAAGAAAACCUCAGAUGGGCAUGCAUAUAACUUCCUAAACACACUGCUCACACUCUCCUCCCAAGGGUAAGGAGGGCACUGCACAUGCAGGCAGCCCAUCCUAAGGGAAGCAUCCUGGGAAAGGGGUCAGUCUAUAUGGUUCUGGGAUCAAGAUUAAACACCACAUUAGACCUUCAAGUUGCCCACUUGGGUCUCUUCUAUGUGUAUUUUUCUUUCCUUUCUUUUCUGCUCUAAAGCUUUUUUAAAUAAACAUACACAUCCCUCC
rnacentral:lncRNA from 1 species